CGUGAAGACCUGCCCAGGGUCAUGUCCUGCUAACACACCAGGACACCGUGAAGACCUGCCCAGGGUCAUGUCCUGCUAACACACCAGGAUACCGUGAAGACCUGCCCAGGGUCAUGUCCUGCUAACACACCAGGAUACCGUGAAGACCUGCACAGGGUCAUGUCCUGCUAACACACCAGGAUACCGUGAAGACCUGCCCAGGGUCAUGUCCUGCUAACACACCAGGAUACCGUGAAGAUCUGCCCAGGGUCAUGUCCUGCUAACACACCAGGAUACCGUGAAGAUCUGCCCAGGGCACGCAACAGAAAAUGGUUUGAUACGGAAAACAAAAACAUAAUUCUUAUUGGACAAAUCUUGGCAGUCUCUUUCUCUUUCAAUCAUGUUUUCUUCCUCUUGGUGCCCAUUGAACACGACCCAGAAUACCACCAGCAUUGUUAAUUCCCAGUGAUGGAUGGUUGACAGACACUAGGAUGUCCUUUUCAUCGUCUGCUGUCAACUCUAAGACUAGCGAACAGAACUCUGACAAAUCGUGUUUGAUCUCAAUUGACGAUCACACAUCUUGUGUGUCCCCAGAUGGAAACGGUCAUGUUUCGUCAUCUCAAAGUUUGAGAUUUUGUACAGAAGUAUCCCGAUGGUCUUGUAUGCAUACAUUAUUCCUUUUUAGUCUUCAUUUUCUACUGAGCCAAAGUACUAUAUAGAGAUAGAGAUAGAGAUAGAUAUAUAUAUAUAUAUCUCUAUCUCCUACUACAUCUGACUUAUCAGUCUUACCAUGAGUCACUACUAUUCCAAUCCCUGUGUAUCUCCUUUGUAGCACUGAUCUCUACAGUAUUUGUUUGUUUGUCUAUCAGUAUUAUGAUGCGUGUGCAGCGUUCUGGCGUAAAAUGGCUGCCGUCCAGCACCCAGUUGGAUGCAACACAGAAGUUUACGAUGACCGACACAAAAUAACUGUAAAUUCAUUGAAUUCAUCCUCUUCAUUUUGUUGUUUUUUCAGGUUGUAUUUUUAAAGGGAAAUGGGGGGCAAAAUGGAUGUGCAAUGUUAUAGUUCUGUUACACUAUGCAAUUUGUGAUCUUUAUGUACUGUACUGCAAAGUAGAGUCGAUGGGAGGAUCUAAUCAUAUACACAGCAUUAAAGGUGUCUAUUAACUGUACAGACAAGACAGUACACAGAAGACGAAUGCACAAUUAUGCACUGACAGUAUCGCCGAUUUCUUCCCUGACAGGAUGACUCUGGAAGAACUGUAAAAAAAAAAAAAAGAGCCUCUUGUACCCUGCCUUUCACUUUAGUUUUUUUCUUUUUCAGAUCUAACCGUCGAUUCUAGAAAGCGUUUGGAACCACCGUAGAUUCUAGAAAGCGUUUGGAACCACCGUAGAUUCUAGAAAGCGUUUGGAACCACCGUAGAUUCUAGAAAGCGUUUGGAACCACCGUAGAUUCUAGAAAGCGUUUGGAACCACCGUAGAUUUUAGAAAGCGUUUGGAACCACCGUAGAUUUUUUUGGGGUGAAUUGGAAUUUGCUUCGUCCUAUAUUUUCAGAAUACAACUAUGUAUAGAUUUGACCCUAUUCCAGACUUCCCCAGCAUUCUAUGUCAUAUGAACUCCCUAUUCAGUAAAGUUGUUAAAGAUCAAUAAAAUAAAAGUGUAACAGGUGAAUUUGUGGUUUUGCCUUCCCUGACAACUGCCCUUUUUUAAGUGUGGAUUCUGCAGUUCUCUCACUGCAUAAAGAUACUUUUAUUAGUCAGUUGUUUGCUGGUUUUUACCAAAUGACAUGGUGUGUGUUUCUGUGCAGGUUAGAUGGUUGGGCAGGUCCCAUUCAAAACAAGACAACUACAAUAACCAUAUUACAAACAAUAUGCAAGCGCUAUCAUAGAACAUUUUUCCUUUUAAUUAUCGUUGUGUUUAAAUGUCAUCCUUUUCUUUUCAUUGUUAAUGCAUGAGGUCCCUGAAGAUCUUUGUUCAACCAAGUGUUGUUUACUUCAAGUUCAUGUUUAAACGACAUUUUGUUACUUGUGAGGUACAAUGUCGUCACACCAUGAAGAUAAGCAAUACUAUCCUGGGGCCAGGGAUAAAUGUCUGUCCCCCAUGAACUAUAUGUGUGUAAAUUGCUUUCCUUGAGUAACUACAGAGGUAAUAUAUUUUUGUAUUCUAAAUGUAGACUAACUCAAAAUAUAAUCACUAAACAAAAAGAAAGGUGGAAUUAUGCAUAGUACAUCGUUUCACACCCCACUAGACAGCUUGUAGUUAUUGAAAUAUGAGACACUAGUGAUGAAGGACAACAUGAGUUUGGUAAGGAGAAGAAUGUAUGGAGUGGAGUUUCACUGAAGGUCUGCUGUUCUGGCUAUGAGUACAGUGUAAAAGCACAACGAUGAAAAGCUAUCCUGCAUGUUUUCAAAUCCACUAUUCAUAAGUUAUCUAUUCAUCCCUGUAAAUAUCGUUUGACCUGUACUAUGCACUCAUUUUUCUUUCAUACUAAUUCAUGUACCAUGUCUGGAUAGAACCCUGUAUUCAUUCACUCAUUGUACUGUUUGCUAAAAAAACAUUUUUUUCUCUAUCCCCAGAUAUUUUGAGAACCAAUAAAUGUCAUUUCUAAUGAUCCAUUUCUUG
rnacentral:lncRNA from 1 species